rnacentral:other from 1 species
GGCUUACUGGGGUGUUUGUCAGGCGGACAACUAGUUGGCUGCGCCGAUGAAUGUGCUCAGGGAAGCCUUAGUCGGGUGUGAACGGAUAUGCCCUCCUUAACUGUCGGGGGAAAUCCUGACCCGCUCUCGGGCUACCCACUUUGCAUAGAGGGUGCACCAAACCGUCCUUCCAACGGCAUCGCCGGUUUGCCG